rnacentral:tRNA from 1 species
UCUCCUAUGGCGCAAUCGGUGGCGCGUCUGACUGUUAGGCAUGCUUUGUCAUGCACACACAAAUUUGCAAUCAGAAGGUUGUUAGUUCGAUCCUAACUGGGAGAG